UGAGGAAUAUUGGUCAAUGGAGGCUAAUAUGAACCAACCACGUCGCGUGAAGGAAGAAGGCCCUAUGGGUUGUAAAAUUCUUUUUAAUGGAAUAAAUUUAUACGUGUAGAAAUGACAUUACUAGAGAGGAUCGUUCCCA
rnacentral:rRNA from 1 species